rnacentral:rRNA from 1 species
AGUGAACGCUGGCGGUAGGCCUAACACAUGCAAGUCGAACGGCAGCACAGUAAGAGCUUGCUCUUACGGGUGGCGAGUGGCGGACGGGUGAGGAAUACAUCGGAAUCUACUUUUUCGUGGGGGAUAACGUAGGGAAACUUACGCUAAUACCGCAUACUACCUACGGGUGAAAGCAGGGGAUCUUCGGACCUUGCGCGAUUGAAUGAGCCGAUGUCGGAUUAGCUAGUUUGCGGGGUAAAGGCCCACCAAGGCGACGAUCCGUAGCUGACCUGAGAGGAUGAUCAGCCACACUGGAACUGAGACACGGUCCAGACUCCUACGGGAGGCAGCAGUGGGGAAUAUUGGGCAAUGGGCGAAAGCCUGACCCAGCCAUGCCGCGUGAGUGAAGAAGGCCUUCGGGUUGUAAAGCCCUUUUAUUGGGAAAGAAAAGCAGCAGGUUAAUAUCCCGAUGUUCUGACGGUACCCAAAGAAUAAGCACCGGCUAACUUCGUG